AUUUUGAGUAGGAAGACUGUAUAGGAAAUAGGAAGUAGGAAUAUACUUUUGCUCAGUAGAUGAGCAAAACUUUAUGUUUCGAAUUAGAAAGUGAUAAUCUCUGGAUUUGACAUUGGGUGAAUGAAGCAAGUUUACAGAAGCCUUGGCUAGAAACAUCAUACAAGAUAAAACAGACACGUAGAACAGCGGUAUGUUUUUCCUAUUCAGUUAUGAAACGGAGGAAGGGUCCUACUUCACACCCGAAAAAGUAUACGCAAAGGAGGAAUGUAAAAGUUGACACCACAACACACUCCAUUUCUCACUAGCUGCUUUAAACAUUUUACCUGUCUGUCUAAUUGCAUGAUCAAACGUGAACCAGACAAGGAAGGUGAAGUGCCAAGAAAGUGGGAAAAGGGGUCAGGUUUCUUCUCCCUUGACACAAGACCACAAGCACACACACUCCAACACAGAACACCCACACCAAUUUGAUCCUUGUUUAAAUUAUAUCUUAUGCACACACACACAAAAACCUUGCAUCUUACAAAAAGGGGGACUCAUAGCAAAAUAUGAAAUUUAUAACCAUAUAUUCCCCUAAUAUUUCUAAUGGGCUUACCACACUUGUUCAAAUGAAAGCUGAAUACUUUUAUUUUGGUUUUAUUUUAUUAUCUUAUUCUAAUCUUAUA